UCCUGAAAGUGAUUAAUUUAUUAAAUGAUCAAAAACUAGUUUUUCUCUAUGAAUUGUCAAAGAAUUCUAAGUAAAGAGAAAAAGAACUAUAUUCCUAAACCCAACAUAAAUAAUCUUAAAUGAUAAAAAAACAAGUUAUAAAUGUUGACUGUUAAGAGUAUCUUAGAUAUCAAGGACAGAUUAUGGAGAAUAACAGACAUCAUGCAAAUGCUGUACAUUGGAGUUUUAAUGUACAGUUAGAAUGCAGGAAUACUUGUUACCAGCCUUUUCAACUCUAUAGUGUGUCAUAUAUGGUUUCGACUAAAAGAACUAGUUGUAGAAGUGUUGAAUGGCUGAAGGGACUUAUGUAAGGGAUUAGCUGAACUUGCUUAACUAGGUCAUAACCCAAUUUUUCAGUGUUUGUAGAGGUAAAUCGAUGAAAAAGACCAGCCAUAAUUUUGACGGUGUCCUUGCCAACACUGUUUGAAUCAUUAAAGACUACACCAGUUGUGGCGUGUCUACUAUGCUGUUUUUGCUAUGGUUACUCUUCUAAGGAUGAAUGUUGAAGGCAAUAAAGGUGCUUAUUGAGAAAAUGCAUAAACUGAUUGGGGGUAUAAUUACCAAUAUGCUGAGACCCAAGAUCCAUUCACCAUGGUAGCCAGGAUUACUUGAGGUGGUCGAGGUGAUUCGAAGAUAUGUUGUCAUGGUUGUACCAGAGUCUAAACCAGCCAAAGGUAUGUGGCUCUAAAGGGAGUGGAUAGUGAGACACAAGAUCCUUCGAAGAUGCAUAGCCAAGAUGGUUGAGAUGAUUGUUAGAUAGGGUGAGGUGAGCACAAACAUCUGUGUGUUGAGUACGCCCACGCUGCUUGGUGGAAUACAUGUGGACUUAGUAUCUUUAAUAGUUAGAACUAUUUUAAACAAUUCAGGGCUGGGUUAGGUCCACAGCAGAAAACAUCUGAUUGUAGAUUGUAGAUGCACGGUGCGCAGCAUUUAGCAUAUAAGUUUUGGCUGAUCAAAGUGAGUAUUGUUUCAUGGAGUUAGACAAGAGAAUUUGUUACAGGGACUUAAAUAUUUCAAGUUAGACUGCCACAAAUAUUAUGUAUAUAAAACGUGCUAACGGAAUCUCAUCGCAGGAAAGGCCUUCUCUAGCCGUCUCUUGUUGCAGUUCAGUGUAGUUCUUUUGUUGAUGAUUAUAUAUAAGUUUAUUUUACAAAUUAUAAAUAGUGGUGUAUGUGUGUAAAGCUAAGCUAGAAAAUCAAAUGAUAGAAAAUGAGUAGAGCCUUGUUCGAAAGGGCCAGGUUCCAGAUUGUGAGGUUAAAUUCAGGUUUACCAAGUGUUAUUAAAACAUGAUGUCAAGAGAAAGUGUGGGUACUUACGAAGAUAACAGCUUUGAUGUUGUCAGUAGUUAGGGAAAACUCAAGCCCACUGCCAUGCUCGUGAAAUUUAAGGAGAGCAUCUACCAGCUUCUUUAUGCAGCCUUUCAAGUUUAGGCCUCAAUCCACUUAAGAGCUGAAGCAAACUGACAGAAGGAAAAACAUCUGCAAGGCCGAAGCCA